UACGGAGGGUGCAAGCGUUAAUCGGAAUUACUGGGCGUAAAGCGCACGUAGGUGGUUUGGUAAGUCGGAUGUGAAAUCCCCGGGCUUAACCUGGGAAUGGCAUUCGAGACUGUCAAGCUAGAGUCUGGUAGAGGGUGGUGGAAUUCCAGGUGUAGCGGUGAAAUGCGUAGAUAUCUGGAGGAACAUCAGUGGCGAAGGCGGCCACCUGGACUGAGACUGACACUGAGGUGCGAAAGCGUGGGUAGCAAAC
rnacentral:rRNA from 1 species